rnacentral:rRNA from 1 species
CGGCGGACGGGUGAGUAACACGUGGAUACCUACCUAUAAGACUGGGAUAACUUCGGGAAACCGGAGCUAAUACCGGAUAACAUAUUGAACCGCAUGGUUCAAUAGUGAAAGGCGGCUUUGCUGUCACUUAUAGAUGGAUCCGCGCCGUAUUAGCUAGUUGGUAAGGUAACGGCUUACCAAGGCAACGAUACGUAGCCGACCUGAGAGGGUGAUCGGCCACACUGGAACUGAGACACGGUCCAGACUCCUACGGGAGGCAGCAGUAGGGAAUCUUCCGCAAUGGGCGAAAGCCUGACGGAGCAACGCCGCGUGAGUGAUGAAGGUCUUCGGAUCGUAAAACUCUGUUAUCAGGGAAGAACAAAUGUGUAAGUAACUGUGCACAUCUUGACGGUACCUGAUCAGAAAGCCACGGCUAACUACGUGCCAGCAGCCGCGGUAAUACGUAGGUGGCAAGCGUUAUCCGGAAUUAUUGGGCGUAAAGCGCGCGUAGGCGGUUUUUUAAGUCUGAUGUGAAAGCCCACGGCUCAACCGUGGAGGGUCAUUGGAAACUGGAAAACUUGAGUGCAGAAGAGGAAAGUGGAAUUCCAUGUGUAGCGGUGAAAUGCGCAGAGAUAUGGAGGAACACCAGUGGCGAAGGCGACUUUCUGGUCUGUAACUGACGCUGAUGUGCGAAAGCGUGGGGAUCAAACAGGAUUAGAUACCCUGGUAGUCCACGCCGUAAACGAUGAGUGCUAAGUGUUAGGGGGUUUCCGCCCCUUAGUGCUGCA